AGAAGUGCGAAGGGAGAAUCCGGCGGUUCGCCGUCGGUGCCGAAGGAGCAACCGCCCCGGUAAACUCUCAGGCCAAAGGACCUUCGCGCGACA
rnacentral:ncRNA from 1 species